UGGCGGACGGGUGAGUAAUGUCUGGGAAACUGCCUGGUGGAGGGGGGUAACUACUGGAAACGGUAGCUAAUACCGCAUAACGUCGCAAGACCAAAGAGGGGGACCUUAGGGCCUCUUGCCAUCGGAUGUGCCCAGAUGGGAUUAGCUAGUAGGUGGGGUAACGGCUCACCUAGGCGACGAUCCCUAGCUGGUCUGAGAGGAUGACCAGCCACACUGGAACUGAGACACGGUCCAG
rnacentral:rRNA from 1 species